GAGUAACACGUGGGUAACCUACCUAUAAGACUGGGAUAACUCCGGGAAACCGGGGCUAAUACCGGAUAAUAUUUUGAACCGCAUGGUUCAAUAGUGAAAGACGGUUUCGGCUGUCACUUAUAGAUGGACCCGCGCCGUAUUAGCUAGUUGGUAAGGUAACGGCUUACCAAGGCGACGAUACGUAGCCGACCUGAGAGGGUGAUCGGCCACACUGGAACUGAGACACGGUCCAGACUCCUACGGGAGGCAGCAGUAGGGAAUCUUCCGCAAUGGGCGAAAGCCUGACGGAGCAACGCCGCGUGAGUGAUGAAGGUCUUCGGAUCGUAAAACUCUGUUGUUAGGGAAGAACAAAUUUGUUAGUAACUGAACAUGUCUUGACGGUACCUAACCAGAAAGCCACGGCUAACUACGUGCCAGCAGCCGCGGUAAUACGUAGGUGGCAAGCGUUAUCCGGAAUUAUUGGGCGUAAAGCGCGCGUAGGCGGUUUCUUAAGU
rnacentral:rRNA from 1 species